GGAGCAGCAGUAGAGAAGAAGCGAGGAGGCCCAGAAGGGAGUGGAGAAGAAGGGAGAAGCGGUUGGCGGCGGCGGCGGCGAUGGAAUCGUCGGCGGAGUUGAGGUGCUGGAACUGGAGGGAGUCGACGGCGAGGGGCAUGUUCUCCUGGUCGGGGCUGCAUUUGGCGGCGGAGGAGGGAGGGUGGGUGGUGUAGAGCAUGGCGCGGAGGACGGCGGAGACGGUGGGGAUGAAGGCCGUCUUGUUCCUGGCCAGCAGCCACGUCAGCCCCAUCAGCUGGCAGUCCCUCCCCAUCAUCCACCUCCCCCGCUCCUCCUCCAUCCCUCCUCCACCGACCUGCCCCUUCACCUGAGAGUGUGUCCACAAUAAACAAUCAAAUCAGUUCCAUCCAUUCCUUCAAUUCAUUCAUUCAUUCAUUCAUUCAUUCACUAAUUAAUUAAUUAAUUAAUUAAUUCUCUACAUACAAUGCAAUACAAGCAGAAUUUAAUCAGCAACGCUCUGUACUCUGCACUCUGCACUCUUCUGUACGGAGAGACGCAAUUUAUGAAAAAGAAAAAGAAAAAAGAAUCCGUAGCCGUAUAGCAUUUGUCCCUCCCAUCUACGAACGAAUGAAUGAAUGUCCCGAAUGAAUGAAUUGAGUGUAUGGGAGGGGCAUUCCUUCUCAUUUAUUACUAACGAGUAACGAUCGACGCCACGCUCAAAACCGUUAUAUAUCUGUAUUCAUGUUUUACGUUUUAUGUUUUAUUAUUGUUUAUUUAUUUAAUUUAUAUUUAUAUUUAUAUUUAUAUUUAUAUUUAAUGCAGUGGAUGCCUGAUGGAGGUGUGUGUGGUGGUGUGGGCUGAGAAACCCAGAACAGAGGAAAUGUGGAAUAAAUAUUUGCUGGAUACUAUGGGGUUCACAUCGUCAUGUAAGUUCGGGAACAUCGGAAUCUAAUGGUCCCUUUCGCCGCUUUAAAUAUGCACACCCCCUUUUAUAUUCUACGGCGCCUUUGGUUUUUAAUUUUAACCCAAAAUUGGUGCUAUCCUAGCUUCAAACGUAACACUAUAUACUCUCUAUUUUAUUGGUAUUGGUGGAGAAAAUAUGCCGGAUGAAGUUUGGAGGGAAAAAAUUAAACAAACAACAAGCAGAAGAAAGAAGGAU
rnacentral:lncRNA from 1 species